AAUACGCAUGCGCAGUUGAGCUCUGACGACGUUCUUUGUGAGGCGGAACGACGCAAGCGGGAAGAAAGCGCCAUUGUGUGAAGUUAUUUUAAGAUUCUGGCUGAGUGAUGUUGCUUAUCUCCUCCUCGCUUCCUGGAGAUGUUCAAGGAGGGUGUCAACCAGAAACGUAAUGAAUAUCUGCAACACCCGGGAUGUGACUGGAGAGUGAACAGCAGUCAUCCUUGGAGAUGAGAACGCACACUUCUUCAAGACAGGCUUUCGUUCCCUCUGUCAACGACAUCCUGUGCGCCGAAGAUAGAGCACAUCAAAACAGCGGGUUGAGGCUCUUCACUCCUUCUCCAGCUUCACGCUCUCAACCUUUGGCCUCGGUUGAGCCAGCCUGCUGUAAAUGCUCAUGGCCUGAGGGGAGCAGAAUGCAAUAGUUAAGCUUGAUUGUGAUAAUGAUAUAUACCUUUUCCUUUCUUAUAUUCUUAAGGGUAAAACCAAUAUACCUGUGUGACCAUUCCACUGACGUCACCGGUGUUGGAGGGCAGAAGCACAGUGUUGGACUCUUUGGCGAGGUUGGAGAAGGCGGAGACGUACUGUUCGGCAACACUCAGGGAGGCCGCCGCACUUCCGUUCUGUCGGGGACACAAGCGACAUCGUGGUUACUGUAAAAUACUGUGAAUAACUAAUCCUUUAAUAAAAAAAAGAGGCGAUAAUAUCCACUUCAUACCUGUUCAGCCAGAGCAUCCGACAGCAAACGAAUGGCCUUGGAUUUGGCUUCUGCUUUGGCUAACACAGCUUGGGCCUCACCUUAAAACAACACAGCGUGUAAAGGAGCAGUACAUUGUGGGCUUUAAACCUCCCAUUUCAUCAUUGACUCGCUUCUCCCCAAAUGUGGUCGCAGGUUUGUUUAAAGUCUGAAUGGGGAAAUCCUUGUGUAGUCUUGUAACACAGUCUGCAGGCACGCAAUUAAAUGCUUUGUGGAUUUAGGAUAAUGACGGUCUUACAACAACAAGACCUUCAAUUACAUUUGUGAUCACAUGAUUCAUGCAUGUUAGCGAGUCGAUGAAUAAUCCCAGUCUUUUUGAGCGAGAAGUAAAAUGCACCAACCGGCUGCUUUGUUUAUCUGCUCGGCCUUCUCUCCCUCCGAGGCGAGGAUUUGGGAUUGUUUGCGACCCUCUGCGAUGUUGAUGUCUGCUUCUCGCGUCCCUUCGGACUCCAGCACUGUGGCUCUCUUCUUGCGCUCGGCCUCCACCUACGCAGCAAAACAGAAUUACAAAAAAAUAAAAUCACCUGUCGGUUUGCAUAACCAUCAGAAACAC